GACGAACGCUGGCGGCGUGCUUAACACAUGCAAGUCGAACGGUAAGGCCCUUCGGGGUACACGAGUGGUGAACGGGUGAGUAACACGUGGCUGAUCUGCCCUGCACUUCGGGAUAAGCCUGGGAAACUGGGUCUAAUACCGGAUAGGACCACUGCCUGCAUGGGUGGUGGUGGAAAGCUUUUGCGGUGUGGGAUGGGCCCGCGGCCUAUCAGCUUGUUGGUGGGGAGAUGGCCUACCAAGGCGACGACGGGUAGCCGGCCUGAGAGGGUGACCUGCCACAGGGGGACGGAGCAACGGCGCAGACUCCGACAGGGGGCAGCAGUGGGGAAUAGUGCUCAAUGGGCGCAAGCCUGAUGCCGCGACGCCGCGGGAGGGAUGACGGCCUUCGGGUUGUAAACCUCUUUCAGCACCGACGAAGCGCAAGUGACGGUAGGUGCAGAAGAAGAACCGGCCAACUACGUGCCAGCCGCCGCCGUAA
rnacentral:rRNA from 1 species